CGGAGCUCGGCCGCCACGCGGAGUGGACGCACAGUGCUAUGGCUCUACAGUAGAUACCUAAAUAUUUAACAACAUUUGCCCUUAAUUAUUGACAAACUCUGUGCUCUGGAUGCAUAGGUGCUGAAACCGACUUUUGUAUGUAUAGAGCUGGACCGCUCAUAGGCUCUAACCUACUGGCGACAUACUCAAGGUGUGGGCGUGGGAGAGACAGACGCUCUCCCACUGUCUGAAACAUCCUGCUAUUGAACCACGAGCCCCUGCCUCACCCCCCUCUCUGGAUGGGUGGGGGUCAUCCCGGUCCCAGGAGCCCACUCUAAGCAGUGGAUACUUACCCAUUCUCACAUCGCAGCGGUGAUAGCAGGUGGCUCCCUCCUCGUGGCUGGAGGCCUGCACAAGCAGACUGGACGCCAUCUUUGAAAAAGUUCUGCAUCGGGUCUUUAAUAGGCAGAGGAGGUCGGAGGGUGCGCCCGUCUGUCGGAGCUUACUGGAUAAACCAGAUACACACCUACCACCUCAAGUUCCCUCGGCAGGAGCUAAUAUAGGGCUGGAUGCCUGACAGAAUUGGAGCAACGGGCCCGGUGCGGUCUUCUGUCUCUGCAAAAACAGGGAGUUGGGACUGUGUGCCGACAUGACCUCCUUCAAGCUGACAGAUUCAUAUUACUAGAGCGGCUCUCUGGCCUUGCAGGUACAACGUUAUCUUGCAGAUCACUCGAUGGCAGGCUGCACAAUACCGCUGAUCUGAUUCCUGCCAAAAUGCCGCAGGCCUCGAGAUCGGGAGUUGGUUGAGGAUCUACUGCGAACUGUCUACCUGUGUCCUACAAUCACUCUAUGUUUACCUGGGACUCCUGUUUAUUUCAUAUACACUGCUGUGUUUUAUUUUACUAUUGUUCUUCUUUUAUAACUGUUUCUUAUGUAACGUGCAGUUUAGCCAACUGUGGCUAGAAGGUUUCCUCUCUACUCAUGCACCCUUCAGGGUCUGGCUAUAGCCUGUACACCAAUUCGUGUCUUUACAAUAACAAAAUCUCUUGUUCUGACUCUAUACCAGCUGACUGUUAAAUCUGAUUGUAGUAUCCCAUGCCUUUUUAUCUUGUAAUGGGUGGUGACUUUCUGUGUCAGAACGGAACCUAAAUAAAGCAUUUACAUUUUUUUGAUAUAUAUAUAUAUAUAUAUUUAGAGCUUUACAAAAC